CCUACGGGAGACAGCAGUGGGGAAUAUUGGGCAAUGGGCGCAAGCCUGACCCAGCAACGCCGCGUGAAGGAAGCAGGCUCUCGGGUUGUAAACUUCUUUUAUCAGGGACGAAACCCGUGACGGUCCCUGCUGAAUACGCCACGGCUAACUACGUGCCAGCAGCCGCGGUAAUACGUAGGUGGCAAUCGUUAUCCGGAUUUACUGGGUGUAAAGGGCGUGUAGGCGGGAAAGCAAGUCAGAUGUGAAAACCAUGGGCUCAACCUGUGGCCUGCAUUUGAAACUGUUGUUCUUGAGUACUGGUGAGGCAGACGGAAUUCCUAGUGUAGCGGUGAAAUGCGUAGAUAUUAGGAGGAACACCAGUGGCGAAGGCGGUCUGCUGGACAGCAACUGACGCUGAGGCGCGAAAGCGUGGGGAGCAAACAGGAUUAGAUACCCCAGUAGUC
rnacentral:rRNA from 1 species